GACGAACGCUGGCGGCGUGCCUAAUACAUGCAAGUCGAGCGGACGAACUUUUGGUGCUUGCACCGAAUUUUCGUUAGCGGCGGACGGGUGAGUAACACGUGGGCAACCUGCCCUGUAGAUUGGGAUAACUCCGGGAAACCGGGGCUAAUACCGAAUAAUACUUUUUAACUCAUGUUAGAAAGUUGAAAGAUGGUUUACGCUAUCACUACAGGAUGGGCCCGCGGCGCAUUAGCUAGUUGGUGAGGUAACGGCUCACCAAGGCGACGAUGCGUAGCCGACCUGAGAGGGUGAUCGGCCACACUGGGACUGAGACACGGCCCAGACUCCUACGGGAGGCAGCAGUAGGGAAUCUUCCACAAUGGGCGAAAGCCUGAUGGAGCAACGCCGCGUGAGUGAAGAAGGAUUUCGGUUCGUAAAACUCUGUUGUAAGGGAAGAACAAGUACAGUAGUAACUGGCUGUACCUUGACGGUACCUUAUUAGAAAGCCACGGCUAACUACGUGCCAGCCGCCGCCGUAAAAC
rnacentral:rRNA from 1 species